GGCUUUAUAGUGAAAAAAACGUCAGACUGCAAACCUGAAAAUGCAAAAUAACUUGCUAAAGCUU
rnacentral:tRNA from 1 species